GCGAACGCGGAUUAGCCCAAACCAAUAAAGUUUUCUUUAUUGGGGUUGCGGACAUAUCAUAACGAAGAGAUAUCGUAAUUGAAGAGGUUUGGAAAGACCCACCACAGAAGGGAAUAGUCCUGUAUGUUAAACGAGAAGACUUUAGAUAUGAUCCAGAGUACCACGGGACACGUGAAACCCUGUGGGAAGCAGGAGGGACCACCCUCCAAGGC
rnacentral:rRNA from 1 species